rnacentral:misc_RNA from 1 species
GAAAUGCGAUAAGUAAUGUGAAUUGCAGAAUUCAGUGAAUCAUCGAAUCUUUGAACGCACAUUGCGCUCGCCAGUAUUCUGGCGAGCAUGCCUGUUCGAGCGUCAUUUCAACCAUCAAGCUCUGCUUGCGUUGGGGAUCCGCGGCUGCCCGCGGUCCCUCAAAAACAGUGGCGGGCUCGCUAGUCACACCGAGCGUAGUAACUCUACAUCGCUAUGGUCGUGCGGCGGGUUCUUGCCGUAAAACCCCUAAUUUCUAAGGUUGACCUCGGAUCAGGUAGGAAUACCCGCUGAACUUAAGC